UGAACACCGACACGUUGAAACGCAUAUGGCGCAUCGGACGAUUCAACCCGACCGAUGUACACAUUCUUGGAGUGCCUACC
rnacentral:rRNA from 1 species